rnacentral:misc_RNA from 1 species
CACCACUCAAGCCUAGCUUGGUAUUGGGCGUCGCGGUUCCGCGCGCCUUAAAGUCUCCGGCUGAGCUGUCCGUCUCUAAGCGUUGUGAUACAUAUUCGCUUCGGAGUGCGGGCGGUCACGGCCGUUAAACUUCUUUCAAA